GGGCCCGCACAAGCGGUGGAGCAUGUGGUUCAAUUCGACGCAACGCGAAGAACCUUACCUGGGCUAGACAACAGCGGACCGUCCUAGAAAUAGGAUUUUCCCUUCGGGGACCGCUGGUUCAGGUGCUGCAUGGCUGUCGUCAGCUCGUGCCGUGAGGUGUUGGGUUAAGUCCCGCAACGAGCGCAACCCUCGUACUUAGUUGCCACCAUUCAGUUGGGCACUCUAAGUAGACUGCCGGCGUUAAGCCGGAGGAAGGUGGGGACGACGUCAAGUCAUCAUGGCCCUUAUGUCCAGGGCCACACACGUGCUACAAUGGGCGGUACAAAGGGUCGCAAACCCGCGAGGGGGAGCCAAUCCCAAAAAGCCGCUCUCAGUUCGGAUUGGAGUCUGCAACUCGACUCCAUGAAGUUGGAAUCGCUAGUAAUCGCGGAUCAGCACGCCGCGGUGAAUACGUUCCCGGGCCUU
rnacentral:rRNA from 1 species